AUUUUAUAAUACGAAACUACGUACUAUUUUUAGGUACACAACUUCCGGAAAGAAGAAAAUGUGCUGAUCUUUGAUCACGAACCUGUAAACAGUGGGAAAAAAUCUAAUUUAUAGACAAUCGGUGUAUACGAUCUGUAUGUCAACCCAGUAAAACCAAAGACACAAAAAGGAAAGAGGAAACAGUCUUCAACCUCAUCAAAUAAACAAACCAAGAAACGAAAAUCAAGAAAAUCCAGUUCCUCAGACUCUGAUAUCACUGACAAUCAACCACAAGGGUCAGGUCAAAUAAGUCAAAGGAAAACAAGACAGAGACAAAUUAAAUUUUUGGGCCGAAGCAUUAAACAUGAAUGGAUAAUUGAUGAAACUUCACAACAAAAAGAAUGGUAUAAAGGGACUGUAGUAUCUUUGAUAUCUGGAACUGAU